GACGUAGGUGGCGAACGUUAUCCGGAAUCAUUGGGCGUAAAGGGUGCGUAGAUGGCAUAAUAAGUUAUUAGUGGGAAAUCGAGGCUCAACCUCGUGGAAGCUAGUAAUACUGUUUUGCUUGAGUGCAGAAGAGGUUAACGGAACUCCAUGUGGAGCGGUAAAAUGCGUAGAUAUAUGGAAGAACAUCAAUAACGGCGAAGGCAGUUAACUAUUCUGUUACUGACAUUGAGGCACGAAAGCGUGGGGAGCAAACGG
rnacentral:rRNA from 1 species